AUGAUAAAUCAGAAAGAGGGAAGGGAGAAGAACUCCCUCAUUUCUAACAUUUCUCAAAUCAGUCACCCUAUACUCUCUUGAGGUCGCCUGAAAUCGCAGUCGUCGCGCUGAAAUCUCCUCAGGCGAAGAUGCGACGCAAAACCUAACCAAACCACCACCAUUAGACUCGUCUCUUCACGCCCUAUCCAUCUCCAUACUUUCAUCAAACUACAACUAAACCUAAACCGUGAAAUCUCAUCUUAACACAAACCUAGAAAUCCUUAGGUUUUAAAUUAAAUGGCCUACAUUCAUAGACUCAAGCUGCAACCAUGGGGAUUUUGUUUAGACAAGGAAGCUUUACUACAUGGUAACAAUAAUGGCGCAAAAAAGGAUGAAGAAGGUUGAAGUUCAAGACUUAUCGACGAGGCAGAGAUUGGCCCCGAUCAGAGUUGGAGCUGAAGAAGAUGUUGAUAGAAACCCAGAGAAACAAGGCCACGUGCUCAUGUCUAGUACAGUAGUUAUGCAAGUCAGAUGGUGCAGGGACUGAAAUAUGCUUGGCAAAAGAGAUCGAGUCUGCAUCUUGUUCAUAUAUGCACCAUGCUUUGACUUGUGUAUACAACAUAUGCACUUUUCACAUUGAGUAAAUUUUUUUAGAUGUUCGAAUGUAUUGCUUUGAUAUUGGAUCUCUUUUGUACUGCUGCAAUGUAUUGUUUGUGAUGAGAUGAAUGCCUGGUUAUGUGUGAUGAUUUUAAUGUUUGGACUAUGUGGUAUGUAUUACAUUGUAUGCUGCAUUCA